AUUGAACGCUGGCGGCAUGCUUUACACAUGCAAGUCGAACGGUAACAGGCCUUCGGGUGCUGACGAGUGGCGCACGGGUGAGUAAUGCAUCGGAACGUGCCCAGAGGUGGGGGAUAACGCAGCGAAAGCUGUGCUAAUUCCGCAUGUGAUCUGAGGAUGAAAGCGGGGGACCAGGCAGCAAUGUUUGGCCUCGCGCCUUUGGAGCGGCCGAUGUCAGAUUAGGUAGUUGGUGGGGUAAAGGCCUACCAAGCCGACGAUCUGUAGCUGGUCUGAGAGGACGACCGGCCACACUGGGACUGAGACACGGCCCAGACUCCUACGGGAGGCAGCAGUGGGGAAUUUUGGACAAUGGGCGCAAGCCUGAUCCAGCAAUGCCGCGUGCGGGAAGAAGGCCUUCGGGUUGUAAACCGCUUUUGUACGGAACGAAAAGGCUCUGGCUAAUACCUGGGGCUGAUGACGGUACCGUAAGAAUAAGCACCGGCUAACUACGUG
rnacentral:rRNA from 1 species